rnacentral:rRNA from 1 species
CUACGGGGCGCUGCAGUGGGGAAUCUUAGACAAUGGGCGCAAGCCUGAUCUAGCCAUGCCGCGUGAGUGACGAAGGCCUUAGGGUCGUAAAGCUCUUUCGCUGGGGAAGAUAAUGACGGUACCCAGUAAAGAAACCCCGGCUAACUCCGUGCCAGCAGCCGCGGUAAUACGGAGGGGGUUAGCGUUGUUCGGAAUUACUGGGCGUAAAGCGCGCGUAGGCGGAUCAGAAAGUUGGGGGUGAAAUCCCGGGGCUCAACCCCGGAACUGCCUUCAAAACUCCUGGUCUUGAGUUCGAGAGAGGUGAGUGGAAUUCCGGGUGUAGAGGUGAAAUUCGUAGAUAUUCGGAGGAACACCAGUGGCGAAGGCGGCUCACUGGCUCGAUACUGACGCUGAGGUGCGAAAGCGUGGGGAGCAAACAGGAUUAGAUACCCCAGUAGUC